rnacentral:rRNA from 1 species
GACGUGGAAGACUAGUGUUAUUCAUCUUUAAUAGGUUUAAAGGGUACCCUAGACCGGUAUUUCUAGCCCAAAAAAAAGGUACAGAUUUACUAGAGUUUUAUGUGAGAAGGUGAGAAUUUAAGGUGUAGAGAUGAAAAUUUUUUUAAUACUUUAAGGACUGAUAAACAGCGAAAAGCAAACCCUUCUAUGUACCUAAACUGACGUUGAGGGGACCGAAAGGGCCCUGGG